UACGAAGGGGGCUAGCGUUGCUCGGAAUCACUGGGCGUAAAGGGUGCGUAGGCGGGUCUUUAAGUCAGGGGGGAAAUCCUGGAGCUCAACUCCAGAACUGCCUUUGAUACUGAGGAUCUUGAGUACGGGAGAGGUGAGUGGAACUGCGAGUGUAGAGGUGAAAUUCGUAGAUAUUCGCAAGAACACCAGUGGCGAAGGCGGCUCACUGGCCCGGUACUGACGCUGAGGUGCGAAAGCGUGGGGAGCAAACAGG
rnacentral:rRNA from 1 species